GACGAACGCUGGCGGCGUGCUUAACACAUGCAAGUCGAACGGAAAGGCCCUGCUUUUGUGGGGUGCUCGAGUGGCGAACGGGUGAGUAACACGUGAGUAACCUGCCCUUGACUUUGGGAUAACUUCAGGAAACUGGGGCUAAUACCGGAUAGGAGCUCCUGCUGCAUGGUGGGGGUUGGAAAGUUUCGGCGGUUGGGGAUGGACUCGCGGCUUAUCAGCUUGUUGGUGGGGUAGUGGCUUACCAAGGCUUUGACGGGUAGCCGGCCUGAGAGGGUGACCGGCCACCUUGGGACUGAGAGACGGCCCAGACUCCUACGGUAGGCAGCAGUGGGGAAUAUUGCACAAUGGGCGCAAGCCUGAUGCAGCAGCGCCGCGGGCGGGAUGACGGCCUUCGGGUUGUAAACCGCUUUCGCCUGUGACGAAGCGUGAGUGACGGUAAUGGGUAAAGAAGCACCGGCUAACUACGUG
rnacentral:rRNA from 1 species